CCGUCUCAAGAGUCAAGAUGUUUCCCUUUACCUUGUUGUCACCAACUACUUGGACUCUGCUGGCUGUCUUCCUCACCCUGGUUUAUCUGUAUGGCAUUUGGCCGUAUAGGCAUUUCAAGAAACUUGGAAUACCCGGACCGAAGAAUUUGCCCUAUUUAGGAACGAUUUUACACUUAAAGAAGGGGUUUCUUGCUUUUGACAGUGAGUGCCAUGCCAAGUAUGGGGACGUCUGGGGGUGAGUUGUAGCUUUAGCUGUCCUCUUAUUGGGAU